rnacentral:rRNA from 1 species
CCGCCGGCGACCGGCGCACGGGUGAGUAACACGUAUGCAACCUGGCCGUGACAGAUGGAUAACCGGGAGAAAUCCCGCCUAAUACAACAUAAUGCCGGGAGGGGACAUUCCCUGCCGGUCAAAGGGGGCGACCCCGGUCAUGGAUGGGCAUGCGGCGCAUUAGGUAGUUGGUGGGGCAACGGCCCACCAAGCCGACGAUGCGUAGGGGUUCUGAGAGGAAGGUCCCCCACAUUGGAACUGGGACACGGUCCAAACUCCUACGGAAGGCAGCAG